rnacentral:rRNA from 1 species
UACGGGGGGGGCAAGCGUUGUUCGGAAUUACUGGGCGUAAAGGGCUCGUAGGCGGCCAACUAAGUCGGAUGUGAAAUCCCCAAGCUUAACUUGGGAACUGCAUCCGAUACUGGAUGGCUUGAAUCCGGGAGAGGGAUGCAGAAUUCCAGGUGUAGCGGUGAAAUGCGUAGAUAUCUGGAGGAAUACCGGUGGCGAAGGCGGCAUCCUGGACCGGCAUUGACGCUGAGGAGCGAAAGCCAGGGAGCAAACGGG